GGCUCCUAGAGCUAAACCACAUUUUACACAUUAAGGAACUGUCUCCGGUAAAGUGGCGCUGAUACUAACACAGGAUAAAUAAUAUUGUGCCGUCUUGGUCAUUGUUUUCAAAUUGAAAAAGUUUAAAUGGUCCGUCAAGAAACCAAACGAAUUAUUUUGACAGAGCAAUAAUUUCCUUAUGCUUUAUUUUAAAUAAUGUGCCUAAAUGAUGAUGGUCUGUCUUCUUUGAAAUAAGACGAACACAAUUCCGGUUAAGUCAACGGAGAACUCACUUGACAUGCACUUCACGGACUUCAACCGAGUACGGUAACAUAAGCCUGGCCUGUGGAGAGCCACCCACACACACGGCGUGAAAUCCACACCCCCUCAGGAGUGCAGUGAGGGAGACAAAAGCACCAUUGUGCAGAUAGAGGGAUGGAGGACAGGAGGCUCCUGCCUCUAGAUGGAGGUGGCAAUCCCAAGUGCUCCGCCUUAGCAGAUAAAGAUAAAGUGGUCAGGAUGGAGCAGGGUGACCCAGAGACCUCAACACAAAUGCGUGUCAGAAAAGACGAUCUCUGUGAUGUUCCUCGCAAGGUGCCUCGUUUCCAGUAUGUGGAUUUCCCUUCCUUGCACCAGUGCAUCCAACAGCUUUCUGUGCCUCCACUGAACGGUUGGCUGGGAUCCUGCUCGUUGGCAAAGGCACCAAACGGUAGGCCCUCCAGUCCUAAAGAAAAGGUGCCCAAGUUUAAAUACGUGGACUACCCAUCUCUCCACCACUGCAUUCAGCAGCUGUCUGUGCCUCCAUUAGAAAGCUGGAGUGCAGGGCUGGUCAGCUUUAAUGCAGAGGGGAGACCGGAAGUGUCUGGAUUGCAGAAGAGGCCCUUUCAACCUGGGAAUGUGAGGAAGAACCAGAGGAAUGAGGCAGGAGUUCGAAACAACGAGAGUAGAGUUACAGGAUUUUCUUUCCCAAGAGACACACACACCUCAGUCUCAGGCAAGGAGGAGAGGCCUCAACACAAUUACACCUCAGAGGCCCCACAGAAGUUAGAGGAAGGUAACGUAAGGUCCUGUGCUAUGAAACCAGAAUCUGGUUUGCGAUCAGAUUGCGGUUCCAGGUUAGAAUUUGGUUCUGGAUCUCAGAGUAACACAGCGGUGGUGAGAAGCGACAGGCCGUCGGUUAUUAGCAUGGUAUACACAGAUAAGCAGAAGCACUGGACAAAGGCAGAUCCCCUGGAAGAACAAUUGAACUCUCCAGAUUCAGUCGGACGUGUACCGUGGAAUACCCUCCCAGAGUCAGUCUGCCCAUUCUGCCAACAGAUGUUCACAAACCCAGAGCAGUUCAGGGCUCACCAGAGGAGCCAUAAAGAUAAGAGACCAAAUUGAUGUGCAGAAGAACCGAGUGAGAGCUGCCUUUGCAAACAGUUAAUGCCACAUACCAUGGAAUCUUAUCAUCAGAAGCCUUCUUGUGUUGUGACUGGCUAUAGUGGUGCUUGCUGGCAGGACUAUAGGGAGAUCAAAGACAUGAUAAACACAUUAGACAGUUUGGAGAGAGACCUAUUUAUGAUUUAGAAGGGGUCAAUAUUUACUUACCCACAUAAGGAUCAUCAGACAUGAUGGGGUUCCAGCUCAAGACAGGGGAUUAGAACCAGAUUGGUUGUCUCUUCCACACAUAGCCUAUAAUAUGAGUGUUUUUACAGGGGUGGGUGAAGCUCGAUGAACUGGUGCAUAAGAGGAUACAUUUUAUUACAUAUGUGUUCACCACACUGUGUGCAUGGUGGCAGGCUAAAUAUUUAGCUUUCGGUGCCUACAAAAUAAUGGCUAUUGUUAAUAAUGCACAAACAAACAGGCUUGUUAUUGAUUUGUUACAUUAGCUUUUUAUUGUUUUGUAUAUUUUUUUUUAUGUUUUUUGAAAUUAAUGUCUAGUGGCUUUGAGCUGGUAGCUUUAAA